CCUACGGGGGGCAGCAGUGGGGAGUUUUCGGCAAUGGGGGGAACCCUGACCGAGCAACGCCGCGUGAGUGAUGAAGGUCUUCGGAUUGUAAAGCUCUGUUACAGAGGACGAAUGAUCGGGCGAGGAAAUGCGCCCGGUUUGACGGUACUUUGUCAGAAAGCCACGGCUAACUAUGUGCCAGCAGCCGCGGUAAUACAUAGGUGGCAAGCGUUAUCCGGAAUUAUUGGGCGUAAAGAGUGAGCAGGCGGUCGUUUAAGUCUGAAGUCAAAUCCAGGGGCUCAACCCCUGCCCGCUUCAGAUACUGGACGACUAGAGUACGAGAGAGGUAUGUGGAAUUCCAUGUGUAGCGGUGAAAUGCGUAGAUAUAUGGAGGAACACCAGUGGCGAAGGCGACAUACUAGCUCGUAACUGACGCUCAGUCACGAAAGCGUGGGUAGCAAACAGGAUUAGAUACCCCAGUAGUC
rnacentral:rRNA from 1 species